rnacentral:lncRNA from 1 species
CAUCUUAACCUUAAGAUGAAUAGAUGUAACCAUAUGGAUAUACAUACAUGUAUGUAUAUACAUGUAUCAUUUUAGCUUUUUUUUUCUGUCAGAGGAAAGCUGCAACAUACUAAAGUUUGACAGUAAUCCCUAGAAUCUUAAUUUGUAAAAAGUAAAAAACUACAAGGUUUCUACUUUCAAAACAGUUAUAGUCUUUACUCAAAAUGUAAAUUAAUAAAUGUAUAAAGUUUGUAAUAGUAUAAUAAUGUAUAAUAAUAGUAUAAAUGAAGUUGCAUAACCUGCUUUUAAAAUGUGUGUAAUUUUAUGUAUUUGACAACUUAAGCAUGAUAAACACUUAACUGUUUAUAUUCUACAAGCUCAGUGUAAUGUAAAAAAUUUGCUAAAGUCAUUUUGUUUUAACUUCAAGUAAACAAUGUUUUCUGAA